GAGAGGUCACUUACUGAUUACCUUCAGGGGCAAAACAGACUCAAAGUGGGGACAUACUUAAAUUUAUUGCUAACAGGAUAAGAGCCAAAGGGUGAAAAAUAAAACAGUCU